GACGAACGCUGGCGGCAUGCCUAAUACAUGCAAGUCGAGCGAACAGAUGAAGUGCUUGCACUUCUGACGUUAGCGGCGAACGGGUGAGUAACACGUAAGGAAUCUACCUAUAAGCGGGGGAUAACAUUCGGAAACGGGUGCUAAUACCGCAUAAUAUCUUCUUCCGCAUGGAGGAAGAUUGAAAGACGGCUCUGCUGUCACUUAUAGAUGACCUUGCGGCGCAUUAGUUAGUUGGUGGGGUAACGGCCUACCAAGACGAUGAUGCAUAGCCGACCUGAGAGGGUGAUCGGCCACAUUGGGACUGAGACACGGCCCAAACUCCUACGGGAGGCAGCAGUAGGGAAUCUUCCGCAAUGGGCGAAAGCCUGACGGAGCAAUGCCGCGUGAGUGAAGAAGGCCUUCGGGUCGUAAAACUCUGUUAUAAGAGAAGAACAAAUUGUAGAGUAACUGCUACAGUCUUGACGGUAUCUUAUCAGAAAGCCACGGCUAACUACGUGCCAGCCGCCGCCGUAA
rnacentral:rRNA from 1 species